rnacentral:rRNA from 1 species
CGGAGGAUCCAAGCGUUAUCCGGAAUCAUUGGGUUUAAAGGGUCCGUAGGCGGUUUGAUAAGUCAGUGGUGAGAGCCCAUCGCUCAACGAUGGAACGGCCAUUGAUACUGUCAGACUUGAAUUACUGGGAAGUAACUAGAAUAUGUAGUGUAGCGGUGAAACGCUUAGAUAUUACAUGGAAUACCAAUUGCGAAGGCAGGUUACUACCAGUGGAUUGACGCUGAUGGACGAAAGCGUGGGGAGCGAACAGGAUUAGAUACCCUGGUAGUCCACGCCGUAAACGAUGGAUACUAGCUGUUGGGAGCAAUCUCAGUGGCUAAGCGAAAGUGAUAAGUAUCCCACCUGGGGAGUACGUUCGCAAGAAUG